CCUACGGGUGGCAGCAGUGAGGAAUAUUGGUCAAUGGACGAGAGUCUGAACCAGCCAAGUAGCGUGAAGGAUGACUGCCCUAUGGGUUGUAAACUUCUUUUAUAAAGGAAUAAAACGAGGCACGUGUGCCUUUUUGCAUGUACUUUAUGAAUAAGGAUCGGCUAACUCCGUGCCAGCAGCCGCGGUAAUACGGAGGAUGCGAGCGUUAUCCGGAUUUAUUGGGCUUAAAGGGAGCGUAGAUGGGUUGUUAAGUCAGUUGUGAAAGUUUGCGGCUCAACCGUAAAAUUGCAAUUGAUACUGGCAGUCUUGAGUACAGUUGAGGUAGGCGGAAUUCGUGGUGUAGCUGUGAAAUGCUUAGAUAUCACGAAGAACCCCGAUUGCGAAGGCAGCUUACUAAACUGUGACUGACAUUGAUGCUCGAAAGUGUGGGUAGCAAACAGGAUUAGAUACCCCUGUAGUC
rnacentral:rRNA from 1 species